rnacentral:rRNA from 1 species
UACGUAGGGUGCAAGCGUUAAUCGGAAUUACUGGGCGUAAAGCGUGCGCAGGCGGUUGUGUAAGACAGAUGUGAAAUCCCCGGGCUCAACCUGGGAACUGCAUUUGUGACUGCACAGCUGGAGUGCGGCAGAGGGGGAUGGAAUUCCGCGUGUAGCAGUGAAAUGCGUAGAGAUGUGGAGGAACACCGAUGGCGAAGGCAGCCCCCUGGGCUGAGAUUGACGCUCAGGCACGAAGGCCAGGGGAGCAAACGGG